rnacentral:lncRNA from 1 species
GAGCUAAAUUGGAGUUUUUCCCGGCCAAAUUGGACUCGGCCACAAGUAUAAAACUUACUCUACUAAUUGAGAUCUUCAUUUCUAUGAAAUUUGAGAAUUUUUAGAAAUAGUUGAUUUUUCCGACAAGUCGGGGUAACCGACCGCCGUGUACGGCGACGCGUGAACUGAGGUAUCCCUUGACCUUCCUACGCUAAAUUUGAUACCCCAAUUCCAUAUGUGAAGUCCGAUUGAUGGAAUUUCAUCGUUUGAACAUAGUUAUGAUAGAGACUGUCACUUGAUCCUUAUAUGAAUUGACGAUCCGACCGUUAGAUCGUCACCAAACUUUAAUACGUUAUAAUACGUAAUAUUUGAUAACAAUAAAAAUUGACGGAUCAGGAAUCCAACAUACGGACCUUCCCAAAUUGGAUUUCUAAUCUUGUAAAAUAAAACGUCGGCCUCCACUUAAUUCUAACAAUUGGCAGAAAUCUGAUCGUUGGAUCAUAAUGAAAUUUUAGUACGAUGUUCUAGAAGCAUAAUGUGGAUCUUUGGAAUUUACGGAUUGGAAAUCCAAAGUGUAGAUCUUCUGGAUUGAGUUAUGUAGGAUUGUGGACCCUACCGUCGACCUUUGACCGACGGUUGACUUUUGGUCAAUGGGUUUCAAAUCUUUCUAACACGUCCUUGGGGAUGUAUUUUAUGUAAGUUACGUGCUCUAUCGAUAAGCAUUCUGAGACGUUAUUUGAUAAUUGUUCUAGGCGACGAUGGUUCGAGACCCCUCAAUAUUCGUGCUAGGGAAUUGUAACACGGACUUCAGGUGAGUGGGUCUUUUCCUUUUUAUAGUAUAUAUAUGAUUGAUAGUUCCACAAAUGCUUUUAAAUUGAUUUAUGCAUUUUAUGCCAUGUCAUAUAUAUAUAUAUAUAUAUAUAUAUAUAUAUAUAUUUUAAAUACUAUGAUAUGGUUGAGUUUUAGAUUGCAUCAUGGCAUAUCUAUAUGCAUAUUACCUGCAUAUAAUUGUCAUGAAUGCUUGGAAGUGCUAAGGUGAACGCGGGAUGCUCAGGUAAGUUCAAGUGAGUUUAUGGUGUUAUUUGAAAUGAUUGAGUUAUGGCAUGACUAUAUUUAUGUUUUAGGCAACUCCGACACUGUCGUACAGGUUGCCUACUGAGUCAUACAGGUUGUAUUAGGCAACUCCGACUCGUGUGUUAUCAUAGAUUGAUUUAUGAGUCGUACAUGUUGCCUUAGGCAACUCCGACCUGUGUGUCAACAUAGAUUGAUGAGCACCUGAUUUUAUUGUACCACUGCUGAUAUGUAGUGAUUUGGAAUAUUUCAGGAUUUCACUAUUUUCGAGUGUGGUUUAUGUAUAUGUACAUAUGCUAGUUUCUGGAAAAUUACAGGUUUUACGGUGAGAGGUUAUUACUUUUGGAAAGAGAAAUAGUUUUGAAAAGCUUUGUUUUUGCCCACUCACACUUUCUGUUUUUCGUCCCUCCAAGUUUUUAUAGCUGAGCUUUCUUAUUGAUGAGGAUUCGUGGAAAAUCUUGGUAUUGAAGGUUAGCUUCGAUGAUAUGAUUCUCAAUCUACUCUAUUGUACUUUACUUAUGUUCUGACGUCAUGUGUGAAAUGGGUUCAUUCCCACUCACAGCGCACUCUUGUAUUUAGGCACUUUUAGGUUUAAAAUCAUUCACAUUUUCUGUUGGAAAUAUGCCCUGAAAGUCAAUCUUUGGAAGAAACCUUUCAGGACAAAUGAAUCGAUGUAUGGAUGACUCUUAUACAUCAAAUGGCAAAGACACGAAUUAGGACUAUCUCAAUAAACGAUAUAUGUCCUAAAUAGUGUAUCCAUGGAUAAUGGAUUGAUUGAAGAAAUAAUCUAAUGAUGUUAGACUACAGAGACCUUCUUCACAUAACCAUUAUGUCCAAAAGGUUCCU